CUCAAGGGUGCGUAGAUACAAGUAAAAAUUGUUUUCUUCUAAUUUCUUUUUAACUGACUUCGAAUAGGAGGAGGUUACUCAAUUCGACAUGUAUAUAUUUUUUUUUAAAUGUAUGCUUGCCGAUUACGUCGAGAUGGCUUGAUGAAUCGAAGUGAAACCUCUUGCAUUUUGUCGAAUAUUUCUUCCAGUUGGUCGCGUAAAAGAAACAUUUUGUGAUUUGUCAUUUUUUACCCGUUUUCUUUUU